rnacentral:tRNA from 1 species
GAUUGGGUCAGCUAAAUAAGCUCUCGGGCCCAUACCCCGAACAUGACGGUUAAAUUCCCUCCUCAAUCA